rnacentral:rRNA from 1 species
GAUGAACGCUAGCGGCAGGCCUAACACAUGCAAGUCGAGGGGUAACAUGAGUGCUUGCACUUGAUGACGACCGGCGCACGGGUGCGUAACGCGUAUACAAUCUACCUUGUACUGAGGGAUAGCCCAGAGAAAUUUGGAUUAAUACCUCAUAGUAUGUAUUUAUGGCAUCAUUUAUACAUUAAAGGUUACGGUACAAGAUGAGUAUGCGUCCUAUUAGUUAGUUGGUGUGGUAACGGCACACCAAGACUACGAUAGGUAGGGGCCCUGAGAGGGGGAUCCCCCACACUAAUACUGAGACACGGACCAG